rnacentral:snRNA from 1 species
AAACUAACAAGGAUUCCCU